UCCAGCGAUCAUACUGAAGGGGAAACACCCGUUCCCAUUCCGAAUACGGAAGUUAAGCCCUUCAAGGCCGAUGGUACUGCGUUCGUAAGGAUGUGGGAGAGUAGGUAGUUGCUGGGA
rnacentral:rRNA from 1 species